GGCUCAGGAUGAACGCUAGCGGGAGGCCUAACACAUGCAAGCCGAGCGGUAGAGAUUCUUCGGAAUCUUGAGAGCGGCGUACGGGUGCGGAACACGUGUGCAACCUGCCUUUAUCUGGGGGAUAGCCUUUCGAAAGGAAGAUUAAUACCCCAUAAUAUAUCGAAUGGCAUCAUUUGAUAUUGAAAACUCCGGUGGAUAGAGAUGGGCACGCGCAAGAUUAGAUAGUUGGUGAGGUAACGGCUCACCAAGUCAACGAUCUUUAGGGGGCCUGAGAGGGUGAUCCCCCACACUGGUACUGAGACACGGACCAGACUCCUACGGGAGGCAGCAGUGAGGAAUAUUGGACAAUGGGUGAGAGCCUGAUCCAGCCAUCCCGCGUGAAGGACGACGGCCCUAUGGGUUGUAAACUUCUUUUGUAUAGGGAUAAACCUAG
rnacentral:rRNA from 1 species